AUUAAGUUGUUGCGGUUAAAAGCUCGUAGUUGGAUUUCUGUUGAGGAAGUCCGGUCCGCACUUUGUGCGUGAUCUGGUUCUGCCUCGGCAUCCUCGCGGGGAACGCGCUGCGCUUGAUUGCGUGGUGCGGUAUUCGCGACUUUUACUUUGAGGAAAUUAGAGUGUUCACGGCAGGCAAUCGCCUUGAAUACGUUAGCAUGGAAUAAUAAUAUAGGACCUUGGUUCUAUUUUGUUGGUUUCUAGAACUAAGGUAAUGAUUAAUAGGGAUAAUUGGGGGCAUUUGUAUUAACACGUCAGAGGUGAAAUUCUUGUAUUGUGUUACGACAAACUACUGCGAAAGCAUUUGCCAAGGAUGUUUUCAUUGAUCAAGAACGAAAGUAAGGGGAUCGAAGACGAUUAGAUACCGUCGUAGUCUUUACCAUAAACUAUGCCAACUAGAGAUUGGAGGUCGUUCUUUUUAUGACUCCUUCAGCACCUUAUGAGAAAUCAAAGUCUUUGGGUUCCGGGGGGAGUAUGGUCGC
rnacentral:rRNA from 1 species